rnacentral:rRNA from 1 species
UACGUAGGGGGCAAGCGUUGUCCGGAUUUAUUGGGCGUAAAGCGCGCGUAGGCGGCCCGGUAAGUCCGUUGUGAAAGUCAAAGGCUCAACCUUUGAACGCCGAUGGAUACUGCCGGGCUAGAGUCCGGAAGAGGCGAGUGGAAUUCCUGGUGUAGCGGUGGAAUGCGCAGAUAUCAGGAGGAACACCAAUAGCGAAGGCAGCUCGCUGGGACGGUACUGACGCUGAGGCGCGAAAGCGUGGGGAGCGAACAGG